rnacentral:rRNA from 1 species
UACGUAGGGGGCAGGCGUUGUCCGGAUUUAUUGGGCGUAAAGAGCGUGUAGGCGGCUAGAUAGGUCCGUUGUGAAAACUCGAGGCUCAACCUCGAGACGUCGAUGGAAACCAUCUGGCUAGAGUCCGGAAGAGGAGAGUGGAAUUCCUGGUGUAGCGGUGAAAUGCGCAGAUAUCAGGAAGAACACCCGUGGCGAAGGCGGCUCUCUGGUACGUGACUGACGCUGAGACGCGAAAGCGUGGGGAGCGAACAGG